rnacentral:rRNA from 1 species
CAGCCGCCACGGUAAUACGGAGGGUGCAAGCGUUAAUCGGAAUUACUGGGCGUAAAGCGUGCGCAGGCGGUCCGCUAAGACAGAUGUGAAAUCCCCGGGCUUAACCUGGGAACUGCAUUUGUGACUGGCGGGCUAGAGUAUGGCAGAGGGGGGUAGAAUUCCACGUGUAGCAGUGAAAUGCGUAGAGAUGUGGAGGAAUACCGAUGGCGAAGGCGGCCCCCUGGGCCAAUACUGACGCUCAUACGCGAAAGCGUGGGGAGCAAACAGGAUUAGAUACCCGUGUAGUCCCUGUCUCUUAUAC